AUUUAUUCCAGGGGACUCCCUAAGGUAUAAUUAGGAUUUUGAAGUGUUUUCUGGUUUAUUCAUAAAGCUUUUCGGUACUUUCUUUUUUGUGUAAAGUUUACGAUUUCUGAACGGAAUUUACAACAACUCGCGUUACGGUUUCGAAUGACAACAUGAAUGGAAAUCUAAUCUGAUACUCUUCUCUCUUAUAAUUGACAUUCUAGUGCGCUGAUUGACAUUCUUUUAUAUUCCUUGUUGAGCUAUGAACAAACAUUGGUUUAUGCUAAGCGUUUUCCAUCCACUCCACUCUACUAUAUAUAUAGUAUAGUACAUGUAUAUCUUACAAAGUAAUUUUCAAUACCAUUUUUGGGGAUAUGGAUAUGGAUAUGCAGGUUCAUUUAGUUCAUUUAUCUGAUAUGGUAUGGGGUUUUUCAGGAACAGGAAUA